UAGGAGUGAGUAAAACAUUUCUUUUCAAAACAAAAACCUUGAUUUCUAGAAAAUACUUUGUUAUAAAUUUGCAGGCACUUUUCUAGGAUUAAAUGCCAAGAGAUCUCUUCAGCAAUGGCCUUUACUUCAAAUAAGGGAGUAGCCUCUUUUCAUCCAUCUUAAUCUACAAAGCUUUUGAACUUGAUGUGAUCCCAUUUGUCCAUGGAAGAGUUCCAAUGUGUUCAGAGGUGGUCAAAUGCUGUAUAGCAGGACACAUUAACCAUAAGCAAUCUCCCCAUUUUUAACAGAUGAAGCUUAGCACAAGAGCAACA
rnacentral:lncRNA from 13 species